GGGUGUUUGGUUUAGUGGUAUGAUUUUUGCUUUAGGUGCAAAAGGUCGUAAGUUCGAUUCUCAUAACACUUU
rnacentral:tRNA from 1 species